rnacentral:lncRNA from 1 species
UUGCUGUGCGCCGGUUCGGGCCGCGGGGAGCGAGCUCCAUCCGUCUCCAUCCUGCCUCAUAGCCCGGCCAGGCGCAUGCUCGGCCCGACCGUGGGUCACCAGCAGCCGUGGCAAGGGCCGGCCCUGGGUUUGGGCCGGGGAGAUCGCUGCGGCCGCCUCCGGGGCUCGGGGCUGCGAGCGGUCCAACAUGGCUGCCGCGGGCCGCACGCGGAUGAUGACACCUGGGUAUGCUGCACAUUCCCGACUGCGUCGUGGGGAAGCCAACCUUGGAGAGCUGAGCGUGCGGCCCGCGCAGCGCUGGGCUCGGGAGCGGGCUAAGUCGCCGGCACCGAGGCCCGGUUGCUCAGGCUUGCGUCCUCGCUCCCACACACAGGCAUCUCUCGGGACAACUGGCACAAGCGCCGCAAGACCGGGGGUAAGAGAAAACCCUACCACAAGAAGCGGAAGUAUGAGCUGGGACGGCCGGCCGCCAACACUAAGAUUGGCCCUCGCCGCAUACACACAGUCCGAGUUCGAGGAGGCAAUAAGAAGUAUCGUGCUCUGAGAUUGGAUGUGGGGAACUUUUCCUGGGGCUCAGAGUGUUGUACUCGCAAAACAAGGAUCAUUGAUGUUGUCUACAAUGCAUCCAAUAACGAGCUUGUCCGCACCAAGACCCUGGUGAAGAACUGCAUUGUGCUUAUUGACAGCACACCGUACCGACAGUGGUACGAGUCCCACUAUGCACUGCCCCUGGGCCGCAAGA